GACGAACGCUGGCGGCGUGCCUAAUACAUGCAAGUUGAGCGCUGAAGGUUGGUACUUGUACCAACUGGAUGAGCAGCGAACGGGUGAGUAACGCGUGGGGAAUCUGCCUUUGAGCGGGGGACAACAUUUGGAAACGAAUGCUAAUACCGCAUAAAAACUUUAAACACAAGUUUUAAGUUUGAAAGAUGCAAUUGCAUCACUCAAAGAUGAUCCCGCGUUGUAUUAGCUAGUUGGUGAGGUAAAGGCUCACCAAGGCGACGAUACAUAGCCGACCUGAGAGGGUGAUCGGCCACAUUGGGACUGAGACACGGCCCAAACUCCUACGGGAGGCAGCAGUAGGGAAUCUUCGGCAAUGGACGAAAGUCUGACCGAGCAACGCCGCGUGAGUGAAGAAGGUUUUCGGAUCGUAAAACUCUGUUGGUAGAGAAGAACGUUGGUGAGAGUGGAAAGCUCAUCAAGUGACGGUAACUACCCAGAAAGGGACGGCUAACUACGU
rnacentral:rRNA from 1 species